rnacentral:rRNA from 1 species
ACGCUCGACACCUACGGGAAGCAGCAGUAGGGAAUCUUCCACAAUGGACGCAAGUCUGAUGGAGCAACGCCGCGUGAGUGAAGAAGGUCUUCGGAUCGUAAAACUCUGUUGUUAGAGAAGAACACGAGUGAGAGUAACUGUUCAUUCGAUGACGGUAUCUAACCAGCAAGUCACGGCUAACUACGUGCCAGCAGCCGCGGUAAUCUGAGGCGGGCGUGGCGAAGGC